CUCACCUUCACAGUAUUAUUCAAUAAAGGAGAAAUGUAGCACAAAAUGGAUGCACAAUAUGGAUGUAUUAGCCGGAAUGUAGCACAAUAUGGAUGUAAAAGCAGUUGUAAAUAGCCUAUGUGACAAUAAAAUUAGUUUUGGUUAAAAUCAACAAAUUGUUAUGAUACUUAAUUGUGAUCUCAAUAUUGAUCAAAA